rnacentral:rRNA from 1 species
UAGGGAAUCUUCCACAAUGGGCGAAAGCCUGAUGGAGCAACGCCGCGUGUGUGAUGAAGGCUUUAGGGUCGUAAAGCACUGUUGUAUGGGAAGAAAUGCUAGAAUAGGGAAUGAUUCUAGUUCGACGGUACCAUACCAGAAAGGGACGGCUAAAUACGUGCCAGCAGCCGCGGUAAUACGUAUGUCCCGAGCGUUAUCCGGAUUUAUUGGGCGUAAAGCGAGCGCAGACGGUUGAUUAAGUCUGAUGUGAAAGCCCGGAGCUCAACUCCGGAAUGGCAUUGGAAACUGGUUAACUUGAGUGUUGUAGAGGUAAGUGGAACUCCAUGUGUAGCGGUGGAAUGCGUAGAUAUAUGGAAGAACACCAGUGGCGAAGGCGGCUUACUGGACAACAACUGACGUUGAGGCUCGAAAGUGUGGGUAGCAAACAGGAUUAGAUACCCUGGUAGUCCACACCGUNNNGAUGAAUACUAGGUGUUAGGAGGNUUCCGCCUCUUAGUGCCNAAGCUAACGUAUUAANUAUUCCGCCUGGGGAGUACNACCGCAAGGNUG